rnacentral:misc_RNA from 1 species
GAAAUGCGAUAAGUAAUGUGAAUUGCAGAAUUCAGUGAAUCAUCGAAUCUUUGAACGCACAUUGCGCCCGCCAGUAUUCUGGCGGGCAUGCCUGUCCGAGCGUCAUUUCAACCAUCAAGCCCCCGGGCUUGUGUUGGGGACCUGCGGCUGCCCGCAGGCCCUGAAAACCAGUGGCGGGCUCGCUGUCACACCGAGCGUAGUAGCAAUCACCUCGCUCAGGGCGUGCUGCGGGUUCCGGCCGUUAAACCCCCAACUUCUCAAGGUUGACCUCGAAUCAGGUAGGAAUACCCGCUGAACUUAAGC